UGGGGAAUCUUGCACAAUGGGGGAAACCCUGAUGCAGCGACGCCGCGUGAACGAUGAAGCCCUUCGGGGUGUAAAGUUCUUUCGACAGGAACGAUAAUGACGGUACCUGGAGAAGAAGCUGCGGCUAACUACGUGCCAGCAGCCGCGGUAAUACGUAGGCAGCGAGCGUUGUUCGGAGUUACUGGGCGUAAAAAGUGCGUAGGCGGCGAGCCAAGUUUGGUGUGAAAUCUCCCGGCUUAACCGGGAGGGUGCGCCGAAAACUGGUUGGCUGGAGUAUGGGAGAGGAAAGCGGAAUUCCUGGUGUAGCGGUGAAAUGCGUAGAUAUCAGGAGGAACACCUGCGGUGUAGACAGCUUUCUGGACCAAAACUGACGCUGAGGCACGAAAGCGUGGGUAGCAAACA
rnacentral:rRNA from 1 species